GAUGAACGCUGGCGGCGUGCCUAACACAUGCAAGUCGAGCGAAGCACUUACUUUAGAUUUCUUCGGAAUGACGAAGUUUGUGACUGAGCGGCGGACGGGUGAGUAACGCGUGGGCAACCUGCCCUGUACAGGGGGAUAACAGUUAGAAAUGACUGCUAAUACCGCAUAAGCCCACAGCUUCGCAUGAAGCAGUGGGAAAAACUCCGGUGGUACAGGAUGGGCCCGCGUCUGAUUAGCUAGUUGGUAAGGUAACGGCUUACCAAGGCGACGAUCCGUAGCCGACCUGAGAGGGUGACCGGCCACAUUGGGACUGAGACACGGCCCAAACUCCUACGGGAGGCAGCAGUGGGGAAUAUUGCACAAUGGGGGAAACCCUGAUGCAGCGACGCCGCGUGAGCGAUGAAGUAUUUCGGUAUGUAAAGCUCUAUCAGCAGGGAAGAAAGUGACGGUACCUGACUAAGAAGCCCCGGCUAACUACGUG
rnacentral:rRNA from 1 species